AUACAGACUUAAUUGAAUUGAGCCUUGGUAUGGAGACCUACCAAGUAAUAGCUUCCAAAUCCAGGGAACCCUGGGAUAUUUUGAAUGGGUAAUCCUGAGCCAAAUCUGGUUCAGUGAGACAAUAGUUUCUUCUCCCAAGAUAGGAAGGGGAUAGGUGUAGAGACUCAAUGGAAGUUAUUGUAAUGAAUGAAUCUCAUUUGGUCCAAUAACGUAUUUAUAGAAUUCUUUGUUUAUACCUCAAAGUUGGAUAUGUUAUAUAAUAUCAGACAAAACUUGCGAUCAUAAUUUGAAUUGUUCCAAGAAUUUUGUUCGUAAGAUAGAUGCCAUAUUCAAGUUGAACUAUUGAUUUGACAUUAAGUAAUCCAAUUAUGAAUAUAUCUACUCUAGAUAUAGAAUUGAAAUAGUCUUUGGAAUAAGUGGUUGGAUGAGAAUAAAAAUAGAGUCCAAUUCUACUUGUCAAUGUAAA
rfam:Picea glauca, whole genome shotgun sequence.